AAAAAGUUGACGCCGUUGACUUUUUCUUAUAUGUUUGACCAUUCAUCUUAUUCAAAAAAUUUACGUAAUUAUAAUUUAUUUUGUUAUGAGAUAUUUUAUCACUCAUAGUACUUUAAGUGUGAUUUAUAUCUUAUAUAUUUGCAUAAAAUUUUUGAAUAAAACGAAUGGUUAAACAUGUGAGGAAAAGUCAAUGGCGUCAUCUAUU
rfam:Oryza glaberrima chromosome 9 Oglab09_0143_15, whole genome shotgun sequence.